rnacentral:rRNA from 1 species
UGCCCAAUGAAAUAUUAAAUGGCUGCAGUAUCAUGACUGUACAAAGGUAGCAUAAUCAAUAGUUUCUUAAUUAGAAGCUGGAAUGAAUGAAUUAACGAAAAAUUAUCUGUCUUUAAUAAAUAUUUAAAAUUUUAUUUUUAAGUUAAAAAGCUUAAAUAUCAUUAAAAGACGAGAAGACCCUAUAGAGUUUUAUAUAUUAUUAAUUUUAUUAAUAUAAUUUUUUUAAAAAUAUAUUUUGUUGGGGUGAUAAAAAAAUUUAUUGAACUUUUUUUUUAUUUAAACAUUUUUAUUGAAUUUUUGAUCCAUUAUUAUGAUUAAAAGAUUAAAUUACCUUAGGGAUAACAGCGUAAUAUUUUUUUAAAGUUCUUAUUAAAAAAAAUGAUUGCGACCU